rnacentral:rRNA from 1 species
AUUGAACGCUGGCGGCAGGCUUAACACAUGCAAGUCGAGCGGAGAUGAGGUGCUUGCACCUUAUCUUAGCGGCGGACGGGUGAGUAAUGCUUAGGAAUCUGCCUAUUAGUGGGGGACAACAUUCCGAAAGGAAUGCUAAUACCGCAUACGCCCUACGGGGGAAAGCAGGGGAUCUUCGGACCUUGCGCUAAUAGAUGAGCCUAAGUCGGAUUAGCUAGUUGGUGGGGUAAAGGCCUACCAAGGCGACGAUCUGUAGCGGGUCUGAGAGGAUGAUCCGCCACACUGGGACUGAGACACGGCCCAGACUCCUACGGGAGGCAGCAGUGGGGAAUAUUGGACAAUGGGCGGAAGCCUGAUCCAGCCAUGCCGCGUGUGUGAAGAAGGCCUUUUGGUUGUAAAGCACUUUAAGCGAGGAGGAGGCUACUUAGAUUAAUACUCUAGGAUAGUGGACGUUACUCGCAGAAUAAGCACCGGCUAACUCUGUGCCAGCAGCCGCCGUAAAAC